UACGUAGGGGGCUAGCGUUGUCCGGAAUCAUUGGGCGUAAAGAGCGUGUAGGCGGCCCGGUAAGUCCGCUGUAAAAGUCAAAGGCUCAACCUUUGAAUGUCAGUGGAUACUGCCGGGCUAGAGUCCGGAAGAGGCGAGUGGAACUCCUGGUGUAGCGGUGGAAUGCGCAGAUAUCGGGAAGAACACCAACGGCGAAGGCAGCUCGCUGGGACGGUACUGACGCUGAGACGCGAAAGCGUGGGGAGCGAACAGG
rnacentral:rRNA from 1 species